AAAUAUAAAGGGAAUGAGGUUCUCCCUAAGUAAUAAAAUUACUUAAACCGCUUAUGAAAGCUGAUGACUUCUGCGAGUAA
ncrna:Ruminococcus obeum ATCC 29174 Fluoride riboswitch